rnacentral:lncRNA from 1 species
GCAGGGUUGGCCACCUUGAGAAGCUGCGAAGAUGGCGGAGUAAGGCGUGCCGCUGCAAACUGGCCUCUGGGCCGGGGGCGAGCAGCCCCCGGGAGGCCGAGUGCAUCUGUUGGACCGUGCGAGGAGAAGAAAAAAAAUAUCGGCCAGAGGAGAGGAACUAACCGAACAUUCUUCCUCCCUACCUUAUAGAGGGGAGUGGUCAUCUACACUAAAGCAAAGUGUUAGGCGCGUCCGUGCGAAGAGACCACCAAACAGGCUUUGUGUUCCUUAUCACAGGAAGAAAAUUUUCCUUGACCUUUAGGUGCUUUUAUAUUCAUCUCAAAAACAAAAUUCUGAACUCAGGACUUGGCAAGAGGUGCAAGCGAAGAUGCAGUGCUACCUUAUUUUUCAUUUUUAUUUUUUGGAGACAGAGUCUCACUCUGUUGCCCAAGCUGAGUGCAGUGGUGCAAUCAUGGCUCACUGCAACCUCAACCUCCAGGGCUCAAGCGAUCCUCCUGCUUCAGCCUCCUCCAAAGUAGCUGGGACCACAAGAGGGCACCACCACGCCCUGCUAAUUUUUUAUUUUUUGUAGAGUGGGGUCUUGAUAUGUUGCCCAGGCUGGUCUCCAAUUCCUGGGCUCAAGGGAUCCCCCUGCCUCAGCCUCCCCAAAGUGCUGGGAUUACAGGUGUGAGCUGCUGCACCUGGCUCAGUGCUACUUUAAAACACAAAUGUGGCCGGGCCCAGUGGCUCACGCCUGUAAUCCCAAUACUUUGGGAGGCUGAGGCGAGUGGAUCACUUGAGGUGAGGAGUUUGAACCCAGCCUGGCCAACAUGGUGAAACCCCGUUUCUACUAAAAAUACAAAAAUUAGCCGGGUGUGGUGGUACAUGCCUGUAAUGCCAGCUACUUGGGAGGCUAAGGCAGGAGAAUCACUUGAACCCAGGGGGCAGAGGUUGCAAUGAGCUGAGAUCACAGCACUGCACUCCAGCCUGGGCAGCAGAGUAAGACUUUGUCUCAAAGAAAGAACAAAAACAAACAAAAAAAAAUGUUUUAUAUGCAAAAGUUUUUUGUAUCAUGCUUGUAUAAAUCCAGCUUUUUUUGUAUCAUGCUUGUAUUUUUUUUUUCUAGCUGUUAUUGCUUUUCUGAUAAUAGUACUGAAUUUGGUGUUAUGGUUGGUCAUUUUCUUCUAGAUAAUAUGUAAUCCAAAAUAUUCUUUUUUUUGUUUGUUUGUUUGUUUGUUUGAGACGGAGUCACGUUCUGUUGCCUGGGCUGGAGUGCACUGAUGCAAUCUUGGCUCACUGAAAUCUCUGCCUCCCAGGUUCAAGCGAUUCUCCUGCCUCGGCUUCCUGAGUAGCUGGGACUACAGGCACCCGUUACCACGCCCAGCUAAUUUUUGUAUCUUUAGUAGAGACGGGGUUUCACCAUGUUGGCCAGGCUGGUCUUGAACUCCGGACCUGGUGAUCCACCCACUUCGGCUUCCCGAAGUGCUGGGUUUACAGAUGUGUCUCUAUGUUGUCUCCUAGAGUGGGUAGUCCUGCUUCUUUUACCCAGUUACUUUCCCGUUUUUGAAAUGUGGCUAUCACUUCUCUACACAUUACCUCCAUGAUUUGGAAUGGAAAAGGCCACUUUUCUUUUUGUUCUGCCUCUCAAAUUCAACACAGAGGAGCUCCUAGGAUUCCAGUUAUCCUGCUAACAUCUCCAGGAAGAAAGAAGCAACUCACAUGGGUCUUUUGCUGUUUGCUUAAUUAUAAAGACAUCAUUUUGCAAGCAGAAGGCUGAGUUUCAUUUGAAACAGGUGCUUAGGUGGUGGUAUUUGUGAAUACUUUUCAUUCCAAGCAAGAAGACUAAAGAAGUAGCAAGUAUGAAUGACUUCAGGGUUUAAAAAAAAUGUCUUCCAGUUUCAGCCACUACCAUGAUAAGCACAGUUGAGACUGCAGCAGUAAAUUCCAAAUAUGUGUUUCUAAUUUGACGUGAAAGAUACUAAAAAUUUAUAUUUGUAUAUUUAAAUCCUGGCUCAUCCUGUGACAUAGAUUUACUGAAUAGGAACAAAGGCCCAAUUUUAAACAAAAACCUAGGCCGGGUGUGGUGGCUCACACCUGUAAUCCCAACACUUUGGGAGGCCAAGGCAGGCAAAUCACCUGAGGUUGGGAGUUUGAGACCAGCCUGACCAACAUGGAGAAACCCCAUCUCUACUAAAAAUAGAAAAUUAGCCAGGUGUGGUGGUAGAUACGUGUAAUCCCAGCUACUCGUGAGGCUGAGGCAGGAGAAUUGCUUGAAUCCGGGAGGCGGAGGUUGCAGUGAACUGAGAUUGCACCACUGCACUCCAGCCUGGGCGACAGAGUGAGACUCCGUCUCAGAAAAAUAAAAAACAACUUUGGACAUAGAGGAGUUGGGGGCAGAGGGGGGAGGAUGAGAGAAUUUUCCAUGUAACUCCUUUUCCUUAAGAAAAAGAAGCAAAAAUCCCUCAUGCAGUGCCAUCUGACUUUAUGGUGUUUCACAUUAUAUAGUUACUUUUUUUAAUAAACGCAUAAGAUUAACUCUUCCUGCAACCCAAGGUGGAUACUUGGAUGUUUGAUUUUUAUUUAUUUAUUUAUUUAUUUUUUGAGGCAGUCUCUCUCUGUUGCCCAGGCUGGAGUGAUGCGUGAUUUCUGCUCACUGCAGUCUCUCCCACCCGGGUUCAAGCGAUUCUCCUGCCUCAGCCUCCCAAGUAGCUAGGAUUACAGGCGCGCACCACCACGCUCAGCCUGAUUUCUAGGCUGAAAAGGCUGGGACUCAGGUACUUUCCCCAGUUGGGACUGAACUUUCUCAUCAGAGAAUGGGCCUCAGAAGCAAUGUUCCCAAACUUGUGGUUGGGUCAUCGUGGAAAAGAAACCUCAAAUAAGAAAAAUAAUUACAAUAAGAAAUGGAUUUUCUUUUUUCCCACAACAGUUAUACAUUAUAAAGAACAGACUGUCGUAGAAAACUGUCUUUGCUUCCAAAUCAGCAGAGGACCAUUGUAUGUAUUGUCAGGUCUUUAUAUAAGAGUGAAACCUUUAUUUAUGCUUCUUGUGAGUAGAGAAUAAAUUUUAAAACUAAUUAGAUGAAAUUAA